rnacentral:rRNA from 1 species
ACGGAAGGCAGCAGCUAAGAAUAUUCCGCAAUGGGGGAAACCCUGACGGAGCGACGCCGCGUGGAUGAUGAAGGUCGGAAGAUUGUAAAAUCCUUUUAUAACUGAGGAAUAAGUAUGGUGAGAGAAACGCCAUAUGGUGACUGUAGGUUAUGAAUAAGCAACGGCUAAUUACGUGCCAGCAGCCGCGGUAACACGUAAGUUGCGAGCGUUGUUCGGAAUUAUUGGGCGUAAAGGGCAUGUAGGCGGUUUUGCAAGCUUGGUGUGAAAGGCAGGAGCUUAACUCCUGGACUGCGCUGAGAACUGCAUGACUGGAGUCACUGAGGGGCAAUCAGAAUUCCUGGUGUAGGGGUGAAAUCUGUAGAUAUCAGGAAGAAUACCAAUGGCGAAGGCAGGUUACCAGCAGAUGACUGACGCUGAGGUGCGAAGGUGCGGGGAGCAAACAGGAUUAGAUACCCUGGUA